GACAGAGGAGGCUAGCGUUGUUCGGAAUUACUGGGCUUAAAGGGCGUGUAGGCGGCUGCGCAAGUGUCUAGUGAAAUCCCACGGCUCAACCGUGGAACUGCGGGGCAUACUGCGUGGCUUGAGGUCGGUAGAGGUGCCUGGAACUCUAGGUGGAGCGGUGAAAUGCGUAGAUAUCUAGAGGAACGCCUGAGGCGAAAGCGGGGCACUGGGCCGAAUCUGACGCUGAGACGCGAAAGCGUGGGGAGCAAACAGG
rnacentral:rRNA from 1 species